CCCUAGAACUUAAAGUAUAAUAAAUAUAUAUAUAUUAAAAAAAAAAAAAAAAAGAAAGCUCCAGCAGCAACAAGGUGCAGACACUGGACGAGAAACAGGAGUGAGAAACAAUGGUGAGAAGUCUAUUGUGGUCAGCAAGGUGGAAGUGAUGGGGCCCUGAAUCUGGGCAGUGUCUGUUGUGAUGGGCAAAAGAAGAAGUGGAUUUGAGAGCCUUUAAGGACAGGCAAUUGCUGGGAGCUAGUUAAUGUAAAUUAGCUUCUUCCAGACCACAAGAAAUUGGCCACCAAAAAUAUAAAAUUUGGGGUUGGGAGGCAAAUGCAGAAACCCGAAGUCCUUAUACGAAGUCAGCUCUGGGGUGGAAUAAAACAUUCCCAUUUAUCUGUUUUCUAUUUCAAAACUCCUCUUUUAAGGAGAUGUAAGAAACAUCUAUUUUUUGAGCAUUGGCAUACAAUUCUUUGACAACAGCAUUUUAAUACUAAAAAAUGGAGAAACAGAGGGAAGAAGAGACUUGGAAUCACUCUGUCCUGGCUGUGGGUCUAUGAAAAAGAAUGUGGCCUACUGCUAAAUACAUUGAUUUUGAAGCUAGAUAGCUCUGGUUUUGGGGAGCAAGUGAUUUGAUCUCUCAGAGACUCAGCUACUUCAUCAGUAAACAGAGAUUACCAUAUCCACCAGUAAUGGCUAUAGGAGCAGUAAUAGGGAUGAUAUAGGUGAAAGCACUGAUCACUGAAUGAUUCCAAAGACAGGUGCAGAGAGGUUCAGGCAUCAGACAGGCUACCUGGAUCCAAAUCCCAGCUCCAUCAUUUACUACUUUCAUGGCCUUUACAAACCACUAAACUUCUCUCUGAGCUUCAAUUUUCCCAUCUGUAACAUGGGAACUAAUAAAAUGAAACCUUCCUAAUAAAGUUGCCAGGAAGAUUCAUUGAGACAUUGAAUGUAAAGUAUUUAACUCAAUAUAGAGCACAGGGGAGCACCAAAUAAAAUUCAGGUGUUACAUUUUUAAGCACGUGUUCACCAAGGCUCCCAAUUCAGGUGGUGAGGAUUCUAUGAUGAUCAAUUCCUCCUAAGGUAUUUGUAAAAUGACCCACCAGAUUACCAACCAUUCCUGUAUUUCCAGAACCCUUUGGAGUCCUUUAUGUAACCUGGGAGAGCUGUUAUUCUUUUUUCUUUUUGGUAGAAGUGAAAUCCUGCAGGAAAACUUGCUCCAUUUUGGUUAUUUCUGUUAUAUCACAAGGUGGGCUGGAUAGCAAGUUUUGGAAGCACUGAACACCCACACGGAGCUGGCUCCUCUCAGGCGGGGAGGCAUCUUCACUAAGGAGAGGUGCAGUCUGUGUCCCCGUCCUUGACUCUGAGAAUCCCUGUGAUCAACAGAAUGCAGAAAAGUGACACUGCAUGGCUUCUGAGGCUAGGUCCAGAAAAGGUGAUGCAGCUUCCCCCUUUGCGCUGAAAUGCAGUGCUUGGACCUCAGAGCUAUUGACUAAGAAGUCCAUGCACCCUGAGCUUCUCAUGCUGGGGAAGCCACGUGUAGGCAUUCAGUUCCCAGCCCAGCUGAGCUCCAUCCUGGCUGCAACAAUUGUUCUCAUGAGGAAGCCAUCUUGGACACUCAGCUCCAUGGAGCCUCCACGAGUCGCCAGCCCCAACUGACAUCUGUCUCACUGCAACCACAGAAGAGCCUCCAACCAAGAACUGCACAGCUGAACCCUUUCUAAAUUCUUGAUCUCCAAAAAGCCAUGCACAAAAUAAAAUGGUUGUUUUGAGCCACUAAACUCUGGAACCUCGAGUAGGGGAGAAGUUCCUUUGGGUAGGUGUCAUUUUCCUAGGCUACCAUUCAUUUUCUCUUAUUUUGGUGAUAGCAGUCUGAUUUAUGUGUGUGGGUGGGUCGGGGGUAACCCUGAUCUUAAGUCAUGUAGUUCAGGUGCCUCCUGGAUGUGCCUGCCUAACCAUCAUAUCCCCACUACGGUACGGUGUUUGUAAAGAGUUGAGCAAAUAAUCCAGGACAGACCACUGAGAUUCUGCCUUGUGACUUUUGUUAAAAUUAGUGAGAAAAAGUCACUCUCGGGGCAGGCUGGAGUAAAGAGGGAUUGCUAAAUAGAUGCUAGGUAGGCCUGAAACUGCUGGGGGCCAAUUUAUUAUGAAGCAGGAAGAACCUAAUAAGGAAUAAAGUUACUCUGGAGGAAAGCCAAGCAAAGGAGGGUGAGAGACAGCUUCCUGAUGAGACUAAGCUUUGGACCCAGUUUUGCCUGGAACUUCGGCAGGCUGUUUUAGUUUCGUAAGUUAAUACGUACUCCUUUUUGAUUAAGCUAUUUCAGAGGUGUCACUUGCAUCUGAAAGAUUCCUAAUACAGACAGGUAAGAUCAGGUCAUGGAGGGCUUUGUGCCCUGUGAUGGUAAAGUUUUACUUUAUUCUGUAAAGAAUGAGAACUAUAUUUUAAUCAGGAGCAGGAUGAUGAGAUGUACACUUUAGCAAGACACCUGAAUGCACUGAGAAGGGAUAUUUUGGUGUUAGGAACAGGGAAAUGGACUAGGAGUAUAUAGUGUUAGUUUAGGACAUUAUGAUGCCAACUAAUAUAGCUGGUGGGAUUGGAUAUGCAAUUUGAGAAAUAUUUAAAUCAUGGAAUCAACACAAUUCAGACAGGUUGGGUGGUGUUGGGAUAAGGAAGAGAGAAGAAGCAAGGAUGACUUUUAGAUGGAUGGCUUAUAUACAAGCUGGACUAUGUAUCACUAAAGAGAAUAUUAGCUCCAGUUUAUGUCUGAUGACUCAGAAGUUAAACAACCUGCCCAAGGUUGUGUACCUAGUAAGAGCAGAACCAAUCAGGUCUUUAGGCUCCAAGACUUUCAUUCUUUGAAUUGUAUCAGGCCACUCACUGUGUUGAGGCCGCCAUGUGCACUGCAUUCCCAAGAAAUCAUAGCACAUGGGGCUGCUUGUUGUUCAGCACAUCAGGAGGAAGGCAAAAUUAUUAAUGCUUUCUUUUGGUCUCCUUGCUGUGUCUGACUUGCUACCAAACAAAACCUCUGCAGCAGGGCAUUUGUACUAUUCAGGUUUUCUUGGCUGACUUAUCAGCAUUUGUGAAAAGUACAGACGAUUUUGUUCCAGCCUUUCUGCAUUCUGACUUCAGAAGCUGAUUACAGAUGCAGAAACAUGAAGGGAGGUGAAAUCUAUUUCCCAAGAUGGACUAUGGAUUGGUUCUAAAGAUCAAAAGGGUGUGGCUUUUCAAUACAAACAACAAAGUCUGGGAGUUUUUGCACAGUGGAAGAGAAAGGCAAGUAGUAAGGGUGGCAAAGUGCUCAUUAGGAAGAAAAGUUAACAGGAAAACUUGGUUUAAAUCAAGGCAAGUAUGAAGAGAAGGUUAUCAACUUUAUGAAAAAGAGGACCAGAGAAGGCGAAGUGGCAAGCUGAGUGGCGAAUGCUGCUUAUCAUAUAUCCAGUUAAAAUUUCUUGGUCUCAUUCUUCACCAUUGUUAAAAUACUUUAACAUAUUUUAUAUACACUUAAAUAUCUGCUCCUUUCUAGUAAUAUAUUUUAUGUCUUUUACCAUCUUUGAGCCACAAUGAUCUCAACUGUGAAAUGGGAGCAGUAACAAAUUGCACCAUAAGAUUGUUGUGUUAAAUAAUGGCAUGAAUGUGCUUAGCCUGUUGCUUGUCACAUGGAAUCUGCACAGUUAAUGCUCAUAGCCUGUAACUCUUCCCAUCCUCUUCAGCAAGCUUUUAUUUAAUGACGCAGUUACGAAUGAGAAACUCCUGCAAGAAUGAUCAGUGUGCAUUGGAUAGAUGUUAAUUAGGUAGGACAGCCAGCAUUAUGUUCAUUUGAAGGGGAAAAAAACUGAGGUUUUCAGAGGUUAAGUAGCUUGCUGCAAAGUGCUUAGCUAUCAACAAAUAGGAGGUGGUUUUCUCCAGAGGGCCCCAGGUGAGAUGCACAGGUGUUACCCAGUGCAGACUUUUGGUCACCUUCACUUAACAUGGUGAUUGUUAUCAGAUGAGAAAGAAGACACCCUGGAAUUGAGAAAGUGCCAUACAAGAUGAGGCCAUUGCAAAGAGGAAAAAAGAGGCCCUGUGUGAGGCUAGGAAGACAGCACAACAAUGAGCCCAUGGCUUGCCAGGAAAGGAUCAGAAAUGGGAGGAGUGUUGUAGGCUAGUGGGACAUUCUCAAGCUUCAGAUCAGGUGAUUCUGUGCCCAAAUUAUCACUCCUCCAUGUAUUAUCUGUGUGACUUUGAACAAGGUUGUGUAACCUUUCUAAGCCUGUUUCUUCUUUUUUUUUGAUUUUUUUUUUUUGAGAUGAAGUCUCACUCUGUUGCCCAGGCUAGAGUGCAAUGGUGCGUAAUCUCGGCUCACUGCAACCUCUGCCUCCCAGGUUCAAGCAAUUCUCCUGCCUCAGCCUCCCUAGUAGCUGGGAUUACAGGCGAGCACCACCAUGCUCGACUAACUUUUGUAUUUUUAGUAGAGAUGGGUUUCACCAUGUUGGCCAGGGUGGUCUGGAACUCCUGACCUUGUGAUCCACCCGCCUCAACCUCCCAAAUUGCUGGGAUGGAUUACAGGCAUGAGUGGCCGUACCCAGCCUUGUUUCUUCAGUUCUAAAAUGGAUAUAAUAAUGUCUUAUUUAAUUAUCACUGUUAGUAUACAUUGACAUGUCUUGUAAAGUACCCAUCCAGUCCAAUUCCUUAGGAAAUGCUUAAUAAGUAAUAAUAAUUAUGAGCCUAAUUAUUGUUUUUAUUUUGGAGCAAGCCUUAGCUGAACAUUUUCCCUGUGGAAAAAGAUUGUUUGAAUGGGCAUUAACCAAUCUGGAGGGAUUUAUAACAUUUCAAAAAGACUGUUAUAAAACUAGGGAUAGUUUGCCAGAACUGAAAAUCAAUGCAUUUAAUGUUCAGCUGUUUUGAAUGAGGAGGUAGUGCAGGUAACAGACUCUUGGCAGCCCAUCCCCAUUCCUGUUUCAGUCCUGAACCCAGGCAUGGGCUUAAUGUGAGAGAUAGAAAUAGGGCAAUCGAUGACUGAGAUUCAGAAAUGGGGCAGAGCCGGAAAUGUCUGUUGUAAAUUAAUUAAUUUUAAAAAGUCAAUUAGUGAAGAUGUGUUUUUACAUUUUGAAGCCACUACUUCCCGACUUGUCUGGAAAGCCUGAGAUUAAGAAUCACACUUUGGAGGUAAGGGAAUACACUAGUCUGUUCUUGCCCUGCUAUAAAGAACUACCUGAGACUGGGUGAUUUAUAAAGAACAGAGGUUUAAUUGGCUCCUGGUUCCACAGGCUCUCUAGGAAGCGUGGUUGAGGAGGCUUCAGGAAACUUGCAAUCAUGCAGGCACACAUUGCAUGGCUAGAACAGGAGGAAGAGAGUGAAGGGGGAGGUGCUAUACACUUUCAAACAACCAGACCUCGUGAGAACUCACUAUUAUGAUAACAGCAAGGGAGGAAUUCACCCCCAAGAUCCAAUCACCUCCCACCAGGCCCCUCUUCCAACUUUGGGGAUUACAAUUUGACAUGAGACUUGAGUAGGGUCACAAAUCCAAACCAUAUCAUGGGACAAGUGAUUGAAGACUCAUCAUUCUGUUCUGAAUGAAUUUUAUGACCAACUUGCUGUGUAGAGGGAGACAUUUGCCAAAUUUCAUUCAUAAUGGGUUCUGCAUACAGAACAGCUCGGAUUCCAGUUAGCCAUUAUUAUUGUAUGAACUUGCAUGAGUCACUUAAAUAAUUUGUGACCCAAUGUACUCAUCUGUAAAAUGGAGAUGCUAAUGGUAACUUGUUUGUAGCCUUUUGUGAUGAUUAAAUAAGAUUACUUUGUAAA
rnacentral:lncRNA from 1 species